rnacentral:rRNA from 1 species
UACGUAGGGGGCAAGCGUUAUCCGGAUUUACUGGGUGUAAAGGGAGCGUAGACGGUAUGGCAAGUCUGAUGUGAAAACCCGGGGCUCAACCCCGGGACUGCAUUGGAAACUGCCGAACUAGAGUGUCGGAGAGGCAAGUGGAAUUCCUAGUGUAGCGGUGAAAUGCGUAGAUAUUAGGAGGAACACCAGUGGCGAAGGCGGUCUGCUGGACAGCAACUGACGCUGAGGCGCGAAAGCGUGGGGAGCAAACAGG